rnacentral:rRNA from 1 species
GACAGAGGGUGCAAACGUUGUUCGGAAUUACUGGGCGUAAAGCGUGUGUAGGCGGUCCUGUAAGUCGGGUGUGAAAGCCCUGGGCUCAACCCAGGAAGUGCACUCGAAACUGCGGGGCUAGAGUACUGGAGAGGUUGGUGGAAUUCUCGGUGUAGAGGUGAAAUUCGUAGAUAUCGUAAGGAAGACCAGUGGCGAAGGCGGGUCUCUGGACAGUUCCUGACACUGAGGCACGAAGGCCAGGGGAGCAAACGGG